AGGAAAUGAAAAGAAUAGCUCAUCGCCUUUUCUGGAGAUGGAACUUCCCGGUUUCUUUAGGUGGUUUCCCCAACCACCUAAAAUAAAAUAAAACGAAAUUACUGUAGAUCUAACCUGCUGGGGGAAGGUAUGAACUGCCUAUGCUGCUGCUGCUGCCUUCGGAAAAGCGGAACACGCUUCUGCCCAAUAGCAAAUAUUACAGAAAAGGGUUUUUUGUAAUAUAUAUUUAUUUUUUAAUAUAUAGAGAGCAUUCCGUUGCUUUCUAUGGGUAACUCUCAUUUGCAACCCAGGAGAAGAAAGGCAAACCAGGGUCUAAAUAUAUAGAGACAUCCACCAUACAUCUAUACAUGUUUAUAGCUGGGAGGGUCAAGAGGGGGCCUUAGAGAUAGGAAAUUAGAGCCGCUCACAUAACCUGCAUUUCCGGUAUUAAACUUGCGCGAGUCCCAUAGAGGCGAGGCUUUGGGGGAUCAGGAGGACAGAGCUGAAGAAGCGAGCGGGGAAGAGGCGAGGCGUGCAAAGGCUGAGAGGAGGGCGACGCAGGGGCGUAGGCAGGAUUUUUGUUGGCGGGGAGCAUUACCUUAGUUAGCUACGCACUUUUAUGGAUUUAGGGGUGGGGCAGCUGCCCCUCCCUGUUCCACUUCCCUUGGCUACGCCCGUAGGGCGACAGCGGCUCCCUUUCAGCUGGGAGUGCUCGGGUCGCUGGAGGCGCCUUAAGGGACGGCACCCGGCGGGCUUCUCCAACAACUGGGGUUCCGGUUAACGAAAGGGACUCUGCAAAUCUAUCUGCCGGUUGUUUUUGACUCUUGUGUAAUCUCAUUUUAUGCCGCUUGCUUGCUGUUUUUUUUUUUAAUGCACCUGCUCCUAUCUGAAAAGAAAAUGUGCUGUCGUGCAAUUUAUUUGGAGAUUUUAUUCAAGGUGUCCCGGGGUGAUCAUUAAGUAAAGGCUGGUUUGAACAAAGGCCCGAUUUAUACAGAGUGCAGGCAGCGGGGCUGCCGGCCUUCGCAAACCAGAAAUCGAAUCCCCGGGUGAAGUGCAAACUUCUUGUACCGGGCUUUAUGUGCACAUUGGCUAGCAUACCUGAGAAGUGGAUGUAUUUAUAUGUGACAGGUCGAGGUGGGUGAGGGAGUCUGUGAACUGCACAGAUUAGACUUGAAAAGGGGUAAAUCUGUCAGCUCUUUGUGGUUUGUUUAAAAGUCUCACAGCCUGAUUAUCUACUUAAAUCAAUCAUUUAAGUUGCACUACGCUCCCUUUUCAGCCUCAAUUUCACAUCUGUAUUUGCAGUUGGAUAAAUGCAUUAUCUUAAAUUAUGUGGGGAACCUCCAGCCUGCAGACCUAAUUUCAGGUGUGGGGCAGGUAGAGAUGCAGCUGCUAAUGCGCAGUUGGGAGCCUUAAAGUGCACUCCUGGUUGUGUAUUGGGAAAGGAGGUUUGCUGUCACUGCUGAUCUGUGAUGAGAGUAAACCUACUGGGAUUGGCUGUGCUUCUGAGUUCCAUAGGAAGGAUGCCUGUUGAAAGCAGGGCUAAAGUCACUGCCUGUCAUUUUAUAGGCUGUAGCUUCAAGGCUCACUUAGCUUGGAUUUUCUUUUCUAGUGCGACUUGCCACACCACAGAGGAAUAAUUUAUCACCCGACUGUCAAAGUGGUAGCCUGGAUUUGGGAGAACCUAGGAUCUGGCUUGCUGGCUGGAUCUAGUUCGCCACCCCUGUCUUAAUAGGUUGUUGUAAAGAUGAAUAGAGACAUCACCUUGCCAACAAAGGUCCGUAUAGUAAAAGCCAUGGUUUUUCCAGUAGAGAUGUAUGGAAGUGAAAGCUGGACUAUAAAGAAGGCUGAUCGUCGAAGAAUUGAUGCUUUUGAAUUAUGGUGCUGGAGGAGACUCUUGAGAGUCCCAUGGACUGCAAGAAGAUCAAAUCUCUCCAUUCUUAAGGAAAUCAGCCCUGAGUGCUCACUGGAAGGACAGAUCAUGAAGCUGAGGCUCCAAUACUUUGGCCACUUCAUGAGAAGAGAAGCCUCCCUGGAAAAGACCCUGAUGUUGGGAAAGAUGGAGGGCACAAAAAGAAGGGGAUGACAGAGGACGAGAUGGUUAGACAGAGUUCUGGAAGCUACAAACCUGAGUCUGACCAAACUGCGGGAGGCAGUGGAAGACAGAAGUGCCUGGCAUGCUCUGGUCCAUGGGGUCACGAAGAGUCGGACACUACUAAACGACUAAACAAAAGAUGAAUGGGGUUUUCAGAGUGGGCUGUCGGAACCUCACAGAAUUGGCUCAAGUUAAUUGUUCUUUGCCUUUACACAAAAGAAGAAAGCAGGGUCUGAAAAAGGGGAAAGUACUUGAGAAACAGGACUAAAUAUGGGGCUUUGAAAUUAAAGAUUGACUACACUGUCAAACUUUUCCAAGUGCAUUUCCUUGUUUUUCUUUGAAAAUAGAGGCUCACAACCAUUGUGAAGUUGUUUAUAGCAUAGAUGUCAUCAAUCACAACAAAAAUUUGCUGGUCCUCUUAAUAUCUAGUCUAGAUUGCAUUGUGGUUUUGGAGGUGUCUUGAUAAUAAUUCUUGAAAUCUUCGUUUCUGUCAUAAACAUUCCUUGCUCUCUGUAAUAGAAUGCAUGCACAUGGAACACUGCUGAAAACCCAAGAGUUAGAGCAUUUCCCAAGGGAAAAUCUAGUCGGAGGAAAAGGUUUCUGUAAUCUGUUCAUCUGAAUGGCACCAUGGGAUUAUAGUAUGCAAGUAGGCAAAUGCUCUGCCCUAAAUAAACCCAAAUAUAAAUUAUAAACUAAGAUAUUGGCAACUCUUUUGUCCCAUGCACACAGCCCUUCAACUCUUCCCUUCACAAUCCAACCAGUUAAACCAGCAAGCUUAACCAUAGCUAUCCAUUACAUCCCAACUGGGAAACUGGUUACAAGCUUCACAACAAGCCAGGAUAUUAAACAAACUUCCAGCUGUUAUUAGGCC